ACCUUCAAUUUCUGUUCUCUCCCACGAGGUGAUUGGCUUUUGGUCCAUCCCCACAUACAAUCAUUUCUAACAAACAAAAACCAUGAAGCAAACUGUGCUCAUCCAGGUUUCCAUGGAUGGGUAGAGGAAUUUUUUUCGCAUUACGGAAGGUGAGAAGGCCCGCAAAAAAGCCAUGAAGAUUGCAGUUAGCCUUUCAGUGGUGGAAUCAUUAGUUUUAAAAGGGAAGCAGAGGGACCAAAUAGAGGUAAAAGGAGAUAAUAUUGAUACUGUUAAACUUGCAACGUUGCUAAGGAAGAAAGUAGGGCAUGCAAGCAUAGUAAGCGUUGCAGAAGAGAAAAAAGAUGAGAAGAAAGAUGAACCGAAGAUACAGUGGCCUCAUGGACCCCCCCUACGCAUUCUAUGAGAUUAGAGACCCCUGUUAUGACACAAAUGCUUGCUCCAUCUUGUAAUUUUGUAUCAACCGGUGGAAAUAACCACAAAGAGGGAGACAGUUUGAACAGCUAAAAUAUACAUCUACUCCGGGUCUUCAUGAUAAAUUUCCAUUUAGAUAAGAUUAAAUUUCUUUUAAGUACCCAAAAAACAAAAACGAAAACAAAAAAAGUCCUCAAUGCUUCUUGAGCUGAUGGAGAUGUAUUCUAGUAUUAAAUCAGAGCUUGGUUUCAAUAUAAAUCGAGGGAUGUAUUAUGCUUGAAUAGAUUUUCCUGAAAAAUUGCGUUUGGUAUUAUAUAUGUUGAAACUUUUAUUAAAAA